rnacentral:rRNA from 1 species
CCGGGUGUUUUCGACAGGCCUAUAUAUGCAGUCGAGCGGCAGCACAGAGGAACUUGUUCCUUGGGUGGCGAGCGGCGGACGGGUGAGUAAUGCCUGGGAAAUUGCCCGGUAGAGGGGGAUAACCAUUGGAAACGAUGGCUAAUACCGCAUAACCUCGCAAGAGCAAAGCAGGGGACCUUCGGGCCUUGCGCUACCGGAUAUGCCCAGGUGGGAUUAGCUAGUUGGUGAGGUAAGGGCUCACCAAGGCGACGAUCCCUAGCUGGUGUCCUGAGAGCGAUGAUCAGCCACACUGGAACUGAGACACCGUCCAGACUCCUACCGGAGGCAGCAGUGGGGAAUAUUGCACAAUUGGGCGCAAGCCUUGAUGCAGCCAUGUCCGCGUGUAUGAAGAAGGCCUUCGGGUUGUAAAGUACUUUCAGUAGGGAGGAAAGGUGGGUUAAGCUUAAUACCUUAAUCAUUUGACGUUACCUACCAGAAGAAGGCACCGGCUAACUUCCGUGCCAGCAGCCCGCGGUAAUACGGAGGGGUGCAAGCGUUAAUCGGAAUUUACUGGGGCGUAAAGCGCAUGCAGGUGGUUUGUUAAGUCAGAUGUGAAAGCCCUGGGGCUCAACCCUAGGAAUCGCAUUUGAAACUGACAAGCUAGAGUACUGUAGAGGGGGGUAGAAUUUCAGGUGUAGCGGUGAAAUGCGUAGAGAUCUGAAGGAAUACCGGUGGCGAAGGCGGCCCCCUGGACAGAUACUGACACUCAGAUGCGAAAGCGUGGGGAGCAAACAGGAUUAGAUACCCUGGUAGUCCACGCCGUAAACGAUGUCUACUUGGAGGUUGUGCCCUAGAGGCGUGGCUUUCGGAGCUAACGCGUUAAGUAGACCGCCUGGGGAGUACGGUCGCAAGAUUAAAACUCAAAUGAAUUGACGGGGGCCCGCACAAGCGGGUGGAGCAUGUGGUUUAAUUUCGAUGCAACGCGGAAGAACCUUACUCUACUUCUUGACAUCCAGAAGAAUCUUAGCGGAGACCGCCUGGAGUGCUCUUCGGGAGCUCUGAGACAGGUGCUGCAUGCCUGUCGUCAGCUCGUGUUGUGAAAUGAUGGGAUAAGUCCCGCAACGAGCGCAACUCAUUAUCCUUUGUCUGGCCAGCACGUAAUGGGUGCGAACUCCAGGGAGACCUGCCCGAUGAUAAACCGGAGGAAGGUGGAGACGACGUCAAGUCAUCAUGACCCUUACGGAGUAGGACUACACACCGUGUGUGCUACAAUGGCGUCAUGCCACAGAAUCGGGCAGCGAUACCGCGAGGUGGAGCGAAUCUCACAAAGUACGUCGUAGUCCGGAUUGGAGUCUGCAACUCGACUCCAUGAAGUCGGAAUCGCUAGUAAUCGCAAAUCAGAAUGUUGCGGUGAAUACGUUCCCGGGCCUUGUACACACCGCCCGUCACACCAUGGGAGUGGGCUGCAAAAGAAGCAGGUAGUUUAACCUCGGGAGGACGCUAGCUCAGUGAUUUAUUACUGUGG